rnacentral:rRNA from 1 species
AAUAGAUACCCCGGUAGUCCACCCCGUAAACGUUGGGAACUAGUUGUGGGGUCCUUUCCACGGAUUCCGUGACGCAGCUAACGCAUUAAGUUCCCCGCCUGGGGAGUACGGCCGCAAGGCUAAAACUCAAAGGAAUUGACGGGGACCCGCACAAGCGGCGGAGCAUGCGGAUUAAUUCGAUGCAACGCGAAGAACCUUACCAAGGCUUGACAUACACCGGAAACGGCCAGAGAUGGUCGCCCCGCAAGGUCGGUGUACAGGUGGUGCAUGGUUGUCGUCAGCUCGUGUCGUGAGAUGUUGGGUUAAGUCCCGCAACGAGCGCAACCCUCGUUCUAUGUUGCCAGCACGUAACGGUGGGAACUCAUGGGAUACUGCCGGGGUCAACUCGGAGGAAGGUGGGGAUGACGUCAAAUCAUCAUGCCCCUUAUGUCUUGGGCUUCACGCAUGCUACAAUGGCCGGUACAAAGGGCUGCAAUACCGUGAGGUGGAGCGAAUCCCGAAAAGCCGGUCCCAGUUCGGAUUGAGGUCUGCAACUCGACCUCA